rnacentral:lncRNA from 1 species
CACCAGUAACAUUUAGCAACAUGUAGUGACAAUCCAGUAAAGCAAAAAAGCAACUGGUAUACCGAUCAAACCACACUAUAUUAAUACCAAACCGAUAUGCGGUAUGGAGGGCAUACCAAUGCUUGGUAUACCGAACCAAGUACCAUACCAAGCAUACCUACAUUAUAAAAGAAUGGUACUAGUAAGGGGUCCGAUAUCGAGAUGCUGAACCUUGGUUCUCUUAGUAUGUAAAAUCUAUGCUCCUUGAUGAGAGUUGAACCCUCAACCACCAAACCCUUCCAUGGCUUUCUAAACAUGAAGCGAAGUUCUCCCUUAAAGAACUCUCAGCUUUCUAUACAGCAUAACUUGUACUCAUUUGACCUAUAUUGCCCUCAAAAGACAAGGUUAAGUUCUUUAAAGAUUAGACAACUUGAACAACUUUUUGAAUACAAGGCUAAAUUCUCCUUUGCUGAAGUCUUCCAUGGCUGCUUAAGAAACCUUGAAAAGCUUUACUAGUUCAAACAACAGUCUAGAUCCUCUACAAUGCCUAAGCCUUCUAGCCUUAGUGUAGAUGCUAACUAAAACAAACAAAAGUUCACAAAUCAUAAUCCAUGUAAUUCAAUGCUGACUCAACAAAGCCAUAUAGAACUCAUUAGCUUAAAAGAUUACGUAUUGAUCAUGCAAGUCAAAAAAGAUUAGUAUAAGCAUGCAGCCCUCAAAAUGAACAGUGCCAAUGUGGAUUCUUGUAAGUCCAAUUUGACUAAUUUAGAGCCCUCAAAACACAAUGAAUCCAAAUGUGUGCCUCAUAUAGCCAAACUAUCUUUCUGAACUAAGAAGCCCAAUAAGUUGCCAAAUGAGCUCGCAACUAAAGAGCUCCAUAAGCCAAGCCAAAAGUGUGUCCCUAGGCCCAACAUAUAUAAUUUAUUUCUCAUAAGUCUGAUAUAGACNNNNNNNNNNNNNNNNNNNNAAAAAAGAGUGAAAUGACUGAUUCUGCUUACUGUUAUACUUGUUAUGGACAAAAACAAGAGUGACAUAACUAAUUCUGCUAAAUAUUGUCCUCUAAAACUGGUUAGAUUAAGAAUAGACAUCAAAAGACUAAUUUUUCAAAGUAAACUCUGAAGAGAAGGAUAAGGUACACCAAUUAUUUUAUUAACUCAUCAAGUUGCAGAUCACAAAUUAUCACAUUUUCAAAGUUUACAGCACUUUAGGGUUUAGAUGGUUCUCAUAUACUAGUCGAUUAUAGGAUCCACACCAUAUUUGGUUUCUUUAAAGGUCCUAACCUUUUGUCUGUAUUAAAUUAUGAAUACAAGGUGUUGUAUACAUUGUUCUUUAAGAGAUGGAUGCGCUAAUUAGGUUCUCAAGCAUUACUAACCUCAAGUUUGUUUGAUGCCUAGUUUUUAAGUCCUUGCUUCUUUAGUGAUCCAAAUAAUAUUUGGAACCCUGAGAAAUACUGACCUUAAGCCUAUGUCUUAUUUAGGCAUAAGCACACAUAUAUAUUUGUAUCUUGAUAACAUUUAUGUUCCAAAUCAAGUUCGCUGAACUAUCUCGAAUUGGACAGUUCAAGACAUUCCGAGCCAUACUUGUGGCAAAUCGGGACGGUUCGUCCGAGCAAAUCAAAACACCAGACAAAGAAGAGGAAAAGAGAAGAAGGGAGAGUGAGCAGAGGGGAGAGAAAGAUGGGACGAUGCCGUCGGGGGCCGACGUUGGCCCGUCGAGGCCGCCAAAGGGCCAUGAAGGCCUCUGUGGCUCGAUAUCAAUCGAUAGGAUAUUUAAUCAAAAGAGACAGA